rnacentral:misc_RNA from 1 species
AGUCAUCAACCCCUUCCGUUUCGUGCGGACUGGGUUGGAUCUGGGGGCUCUGCCGCCGCGAGGCGGCUCCCCUCAAAUGCAUCGGUUGGGCCUGUGGGUCGAACUCGACUGGGCGUUGUACCAUCCUCGCUCGACAGAGACGUUCCCCUUGCGAGCCCUCCCCCGACCUGCCUCUGGAGUGGCGGUCACCGAGCGAAAGCUUCUCGAU